rnacentral:rRNA from 1 species
ACACAUGCAGUCGAGCGGGGUGAUGUAGCUUGCUACAUUACCUAGCGGCGGACGGGUGAGUAAUGCUUAGGAAUCUGCCUAUUAGUGGGGGACAACAUUCCGAAAGGAAUGCUAAUACCGCAUACGCCCUACGGGGGAAAGCAGGGGAUCUUCGGACCUUGCGCUAAUAGAUGAGCCUAAGUCAGAUUAGCUAGUUGGUGGGGUAAAGGCCUACCAAGGCGACGAUCUGUAGCGGGUCUGAGAGGAUGAUCCGCCACACUGGGACUGAGACACGGCCCAGACUCCUACGGGAGGCAGCAGUGGGGAAUAUUGGACAAUGGGCGAAAGCCUGAUCCAGCCAUGCCGCGUGUGUGAAGAAGGCCUUUUGGUUGUAAAGCACUUUAAGCGAGGAGGAGGCUACUUAGAUUAAUACUCUAGGAUAGUGGACGUUACUCGCAGAAUAAGCACCGGCUAACUCUGUGCCAGCAGCCGCGGUAAUACAGANGGUGCGAGCGUUAAUCGGAUUUACUGGGCGUAAAGCGUGCGUAGGCGGCUUCUUAAGUCGGAUGUGAAAUCCCUGAGCUUAACUUANGAAUUGCAUUCGAUACUGGGAAGCUAGAGUAUGGGAGAGGAUGGUAGAAUUCCAGUGUAGCGGUGAAAUGCGUAGAGAUCUGGAGGAAUACCGAUGGCGAAGCAGCCAUCUGGCCUAAUACUGACGCUGAGUACGAAAGCAUGGGAGCAAACAGGAUUAGAUACCCUGGUAGUCCAUGCCGUAAACGAUGUCUACUAGCCGUGGGGCCUUUGAGCUUUAGUGNGCAGCUAACGCGAUAGUAGACCNCUGGGGAGUACGUCGCAGACUAAAACUCAAAUGAAUUGAC